rnacentral:lncRNA from 1 species
UCGAAUCCCUCAACCAAACCGAACUGAAAUUUUUUGGUUUGGUUUGAUUCGGUUUGGUUUUAAAUUUUAGUUCGGUUUGAUUUGGUUCGAUUCGUAUAUUUUCCUGAAUUUUGUAAUUUUAACUUAAUCUUACUGAAUUCUAUAGCUUUAACUUGAUUUUACUGAAUUUUGCAGUUUACACCUGUAUUAUCAAGUAUACUUUACACAUAUAGUAACACUAGAUAUAAAUAAAUAAAUACAAAGUCUUCAAGUCAAUAGCAAAAUAAUAAAAGUCUCAAUUAGACAUCUAAAAUGAAUAAAAUAAAAAUAAAUAAGCAAUCUUAAUUUAUUUACUAGUUUAAUUUUUUCAAUGAAAAAUUUUGAACAAUGAUUUUAAUUUACUUGAACAAUUAUGCCAACCGAUUACAAAAUUAUUUUUUAUUUUUUUCUACACGGCAGUAUUUGUUUACAAUUCCCUGAUUAUAACAAUUUAAAUUCAACUAGUUUAAGUGAUAACAAUGGGAUAUUUAAGUAACUUCAGUCACCAUAUAUUUCAAAUGUUUGUUUUUUUCUCAUCCAUUGUCAAACUAAACAAAACCUAAAAAAAUCUCUGUAUCCGAAUUCUGAAAGCAACCCCUACGUACAUGACGGGUGUUAAUGAUUUAAUGUUUAAAGAUCAAUAUUAUCGCAAUAUAAAGUUAUACACCCAUUUUUUAUUUCACUUACGGUGACCACAACCAUUUAUUUACUCACUAUAUUCACAAGUCCAAUAACCAAUAUACACCAGCACAAAAUCAACCCCUCGUACGGUUCAAUUCAAACAGAAAAUAAAACAAACACAAUGGCCACAACAUAAAAUAAAAUAAAAGAAAAAACAAACGCCUACAGCAAUGAAGACUGAAGAUGACAGGUUGACGGCAGGAGGUUUGGACUAGCAAGAGGGAGACCGUAAGGUGUGAGUGAUGAGAGACGACAAGCAUGGUUAACCGUGAGGUGAGGAGAUUAAAGAUGAUGGUUGAUGGGUUGAGGAGCGGCGACCAUGAGGCAUGACCGUGAAAGACUGAGUUCGUUAUAGUGUCACCACGCUUGAGGGGCUGUGCUACCGCUGAUUGUGAGGUGAGGGAGAGACAGCAAGAGAUAGAUGAGGCGACGGAAACACCGAGAGUCGAGAGAGAUGAUGACGUGAUUUAGAUUUUAGGGUUACUAAAUUAGGAUUUGAAGAAUGAAAUUUAGAAUUUAAGUUGUUAUAUUUUAAAUUAAGAAUAAUUUUUAAAUAAUUAGACCGAACCGAUUGGAUUGUUGAUUUGGUUCGGUUUUGAACCGAACCAAAUACAAACCGAUCGGUUCUUAUGUUUUUAAAACUAUUCAGUUUUUACUCUUAGAACCAAACCGAACCGAAUUAAUUUUUUUUGUUUGGUUUGGUUCAGUAAAAACCGAACCGUUUACCCACCCUGGGGGUUACUUAGAUUCAAUUAUUGAUUUGAUUAAAAAUGUAUUACUACCUAAAAAUCAAUAUUAGGCCCAAUAACUCAAUUCAGCGCAUAAAGCUCAAGCACAUUAUGUGUUACAUGUUUCUCAGAGUUCGCGGUAGACAUUGCCUGAUGAAAAUGUGCGAAAAAAAUGUGGAGUUUAAUUAAACUAGUUGUUGAGGACAUUUAGCGGCAGUGCCUAUUCGUACAGCCUAAAUACAAUAAAGUGGUAGCAAUAAAAAUUGUCAACCAAUUUUGAAAAAGAAAAUUAUAUUAUUAAAAUAAUAAUUUGAUUUUAAUAAAAUAAAUUAUUAUUUUAAAACCCACGAAUUUUCAUAAAACAAUAAUAAAUAAUUUUAAGGGCAAACCAAAUUUGAUAUUUUGGACUUGGCUUGCCCAUAAAUAGAUUAGUUAGGGGCAUGGAGAAGGCAUCAAUUGGAAGAAUAAGAAAAUAAUAAAUUAAGAGAGUAUUUUUAGAACUUUAAGUUCUUAAUUUAGUAGUUUGAGAGUUUGGGUGUAUUAAGGUGUUGAGUUGUGAGAUAAAAUAUUGUAAUACUUGUAAUUACAUUUCACUAGUGAAAUAUCUUCUCUUAUAUUUACCCAUGAAUUUAGGUUAAAAGUUAAACCAUGUAAAUUCUUAUGUUCUCUUUAUGUGCUUCGCUUGUCUCCAAAUUCAUUUUAGCUAUGACCCUACUUUACCCAUCAUUUUAGUUGUCGGAGCACUAUUCACAGUAUUGUCCACAUAUACAAUAUUGUUCACAUAUGUAGAGUCAGUUUGGGAUUGCGGUUGUUAAUUAAAUAAACUACUUCUGCUGUACGGAUGCAAUAAGCAGUUGAUUAAAAAAACAGUUUGGUGUUUGAUAAAUUUUGUUAUUACGGUUGCUAUAAGUUUGAAAAGCGGUAUACAUGCAUUUUAUAAAUUUUAUUACAAAUGUAUUGUUCUUUUUAAAUUACAUUUUAAAUUUUAAAUUUUAUUACAAAUGCAUUUGGUAAAUUUUAUUACAAAUGUAUAGACAUAAGUUUAAAUUACCUUUUUUUUGGAGUUUAUUUAAUGAAGUUUAGACAUGCAUUUUUCUUUUUAAAACACGUAAAAUUACAUAAAGUGAAAAAAGAACUUGAUAAAAUUUUUAUUUAUAAUAUGAUAAAAAUUCAUACUAAAACAUACUUCAGAUAAAAUAAAAAAUAAUGUGCAUUACAUUCGUAUUAAACUUGAUGCAAUAAACACCAUAACUAUAGAAAAAAAAUAUAAAUAGAUUGAAUAUUAAAAACCAUGGUUAUGAAACCAUGAUUAUGAAAUUAAUUUUAAAAGUUAUGGUUAAUUUUCAUGUGAAAUUGUUCAAAGUUCAAAAAUUUUUACAUAAUUAUAUGCAAACCUAUUUUAAUCCUCUAAUAGAAAAUAAAAGUAAAAUAUAAAAAAAAAAUGGAGUUACUAGAUCAAAACUUUGAUAUUAGAGAGAAUAUACAAUAUUUGUGGCAGUAAUUUGAUUGUGGUGAUAAUAUGAUAUCUAAUGGCUUAAUAUUAUGGUGUAUGAGAAAAUAAGACAUAAUUAUUUUUUUCAAAUAUUAAGGUUAUAAUAGGAACUUUAAAAAGGUAUGACAGCUUGUCAAAAUGGAGAAAAUUAUAAAAUAAACAAAUUUUACAAAUUUUAUCAAACACUAUUUUUGUCACAGAUUAUAAAAUAAGCAGCUUAUUGAGUUUCAAGAUCAAUCCCAAAUGGUGCCAUAGUGCUGUUCAUAUUUAGUAAUUAUUCACAAUAUUCAGCAUUCAAAGCUACUAUUAAGCAAUAUCAAAGUCAAAGUUGCAACAAGAGCUUAUUUGGGCUAUAUCAAAGCCAUGAAUACGUUUUUGGACCUUACUCCAUGAACCACACAACAGAUCAGGCAGAUUGUAGACCAAUUAGAGCAUUUCCAAAAAGCUCUUCAAAUAAAAAUUUGUUACUUAUUUGAAGAGUCACAUCAGCAUUUAAAACUCCAAUGACACACUAAUUAAAAUUCUUCAAAUAAGAAAUGAUUCUCUCUCUUCAAUUUUGUAGAGUGGUUUUCUCUCUCUUCAAUUUUGUAGAGUUAUUUUCUCUCUCUUCAAUUUUGUAGAGUUAUUUUCUCUCUCUUCAAUUAUAUUUUAUUACUUUUUAUUGGGGAAAAAGAGAGAAGUGCUUUAAUUACCAUUUAUUUUUCCUUUAAAAAAGAUAUUUAUUUGAUUAAAAUAAUAUUAAUUUAUUUAUAUUUGAAUAGCUUUUGGAGAAUAACAUAUUUUUUCGCUCUUGUUUUUACUACAUAAGUAAAUAAAUUAAUAUUUGAAGAAUAAAAUUAAUACAACUUUUUAGAGAUGCUCUUAGUCCAAGUUUCCAUUCAAGCCCAACUCUAUUUCAAUUAAGAAGGAGUACAUUCUUGUGACACAUGGCUUGGUGAACUUCCGCCCCAAACAAAAUGUUGUCAGGAUUGCUACCGUGUGUAUAUCAAAAUUUGUAAUGUAGAAAUGGUGUAGGAAAUAUUAAAAUUAUACUUGAUAUAGUAGGGAAAAUAAACGAAAUACACAAUCUAGGAGGAAUAGAUUCUGGAACAACAGAUUACCAAUUAGAUUUUACAUAUAACGAACAAUGGAAAUAUUAAUUAGAGCAAUGAAAUGACAAUAUAAAUAAGAUAAAAGAAUAUAAUGCAAACUGAGGCAUGUGCGAUACCACAGUUUCUUUAAAUCAAAUUCUCCUUCAACUCUCAGAUGCUUUAGGAUUUGAAUGGCAUUUAUUUUCUAGGACAGAACAACACUGAAUAACUCUGGCGCAUUACCAAAUUGUUUCACAGUGAACUUCCAUUGUGUUUGAAUUCUAUCAAAAUGGGUAUAAAAUGAGAAACUAAAGUCUAUCUAAUUCUAUUUUUCUGUCUAUCACUUGUUUUUGUACAUUUUGUAUGUCUCUUGCCUCUUCUUAUUGCUUCCUUGAAAUGAAGAAGAAUUUCAAUUUAUAAAAUUCUGUUUGGGGUAUUUUCGUCCAUAUAUUUGAUUACUAUAAAUUCUGUAAUCGGCGCAUUUAAUUUCUUAUUUACUGCUUUUAUAAUAUCUAAUUGAAAGUGUAAUAGCUACCGUUUAAACCUUUGAUUUAAUUUUUUAAUUAAAUUCAAAUUGUUACCACAACUUCAUUAACCAUGUAUUAAAUUUUGGAUUUAAUUAAUCAUUAAAAUCUCAGAAUAAAUUUUAAAUUUAAUUAGUAGUUACAAAUAACAAAUUCUAAAAUUGAUUGCAUUAAUUAAUUCCAAAUCUAAUUAGCCGUUACAAUCUCUAUAACUCGUGCUUUUAUCCAAUGCCAUCAAUGGAUAUACAAUGAGCGUGAAUUUCUCAUUCACCAUUUUGAGUAUAUAAGUGCAUCAUUUCGAAAUACUUAGAAAGAAGAUUUUCAAUUAUUCUUGACCUUCCACUUACAUUAAUUAAGUCCCACUCAAAAUUAUAUUUUCAAUCAGCUACUCAUUAUACUAUUUUUGCAAUGGAUGCAAUUGUAGUAGAAAUGGUGUCUUGUACUUCGUUUUUAGUAGCCAUCUAGCAAAAGAAUUACAGAUUAGGAGAAACAGUCACCUGAUGAAUUCAUUAACAGUCCUGUUA